GCUUGUUUCAGCAGUGCAUAUACUAAAAUUGUAAUGAUACAGAGACAAUUAGCAUGGCCACUGUGCAAGGAUGACACACAAAAAAAAAAAGAAGAAAAAGAAAAA
ensembl:snRNA U6 U6 spliceosomal RNA